CUUAAUGUUUAAGCUCUCUGUUUAAGAAAUAGGAAACAUACGAAUCUUCUAAUUUCAUGGGAACGACCUAAGACUGCAAUCACGGCUUCAAUUUUUGAAUUGCAGAAUAAUUAGAUGCACUAUCUAGUGUAUAUAAGAUAUCUAUGGUGCCCGCGCGCUCGCUCAUCUUAGCCACUGAUCUAUAUAAAAGUACUGUAGUGUGCCUAUUUUUAGUUAAUUGCGCCUGGGUACGAGGCUGGGCCAAGCACAGGUACAAAGUGCUGUGUGCACUCCAGGAUGGCGUCAUAGCACGUAAAAAAAUUUUGGACAUUUUCCUUCAGCCAAAACACAUAGGAGUGUCACUUCUGGUCCGGUAUGUAUGUAUUCUGUGACUACACAUAUAAAGUCCAUAUGGCUUCAUUGUUUUUUGCGUAAGCUCUAUUCGUCAUGAUUCGUCACUCAGCAAGUACCGUAAACAGAAGCAGUCACCCCCUGGACAUGCGCCAUUUUUAGUAUUUCCAGGGAGGUGACUGCUUCUGAUUACAGUACUUGCUGAGUGACGAAUCAUGACGAAUAGAGCUUACGCAAAAAACAAUGGAGAUGGACUUCUGUGUAGUAUUCUGUGCCAUGGGCGUACGGGAAGGAAAAAAUCAGGGGGGCGGAAGAAAAAAUUAGAGGGAUGGAAAGAAAUUUGCCCAACUUUUUUGGAUUGUGCCGGAGUUGUCAAGUUGUCAGGGGUGAAGCGAAAUUUUAGUGCGGUUGAACACUUUAUUAGAGGGGUUAGAGAGAUUCUGCGGGGGGGGAGGGGGUAAUUAACCCCCCAGUAAAUCUACUCAUGAUUCAUGAAUAUUAAAAUGAGAAAAAUCGAUACUUUAUACCGUAUUCAGUAUUCCCAGCCAUUUUCCAAAACUGAUGACACAUGAUUUGGUGAGAAAAUUUAUCCCAGUUGUACCCAAGAUCCCACUGUGUCCCUGUCCAUAUAUGCAAAAUGACAAAAUUUGUCACAAAUACCUAUGCCCCCGGGACUAUACUGAUUGUCAAAUUCCCCACUCAUGGGAUAUACUUUCUCGUCAAAUCCCCCCCCCUUGCCCCGUCUCCCUCCCCCCCACCCCCCCACCGGCCUAACAUUGUUAGGUGCAUAAUGCAGUCUAAUCCAAGCUAAUUGAUGCAGGUUAAUGCCAUCUAAUGCACUGUAAUAUGCAGUCUAAUCCGAGCUAAUGCAGGUUCAGCCUAGUUUCCAAUUGGUCGUUAGUUGUCGCUGGCACCACAAGCGGUAGAUUUGAAAUAGUCUAAUAAUGUAAUAAUAGUCCUUUUGUGCGUUAUAUGGAAAUCAGUUUUAAUGAUUGCAGAGUUUUAUAAAGUUUUGUUGACACUCUAUUACAUCAGCUACUUGUCGUGCCAGCAACAACUAAUGACCAAAUGGAAACUAGGCUUUAAUGGCAUCUAUUAACCCCAUCUAAUGCAGGAUAAUGCAGUCUAAUCCAAGCUAAUGCAGGAUAAUGCAGUCUAUAAAUCCAAGCUAAUGCAGGUUAAUGCCAUCUAACGUAGGCCAGGGUAAUGCAAGGUGAUGCAUCUAAUCCAAAGCUAAUUAAUGCAGGUUAAUGCCAUCUAAUGCAGGCUAAUGCUAAUGCAGGCUAAUGCCAUCUAACGCCAUAGGGUAAUGCAAUCUAUAUAAUAUUUUUUAUAGAAUAUCAUGUAAACAUCCCUUGUGAAAAUUCGCAUAUAGACUAUAGUUGACGGGGCCAGCGUGUGUCUUUUAAAUAAAGUUUUACCUACCUACUAAUAUGCAGUCGAAAUGUUGAAUGUAAACUAAUGCUGUUAAUACAGUCUAAUGUGUGCUAGUGAAGGCUUAAGGCGGAUUUCUAUUCAGUGCAAAACGUUAUGUGAUCAAAUACAAACAGUCAAGCGAAACUAAAUCUCAUCAGCUGCAGCGACUGCAUACAUCUCGAAAGAAAGCGAUCACAAACAAUCGACAAGAAACUGAAUGGAAAUCUGCCUUAAUUUAAUACCAUCUAAUUUAAUCUAGUAGUGUAAGUUACUGUUUAAUUAAAACAAGAGCAUUAGUGUUUUAUCAGAUAUAAAGAUACAAGGUCAUGCCGAGCAUCUUUAGGUCCAAAAAAUCAUCCAAUGCCAAUGCAAAUGUUUUAAAUUGCUUAAAAAAUGGUCGACCUAGUAAUUAAGUUCACUGGCAAAGUAAUUUUCAAAAAAAUAUGUUGUGUACAUCUAAUCAUACAUAUAAUCUAUUCAUAUAUCAUACAUAUAAUCUAUAUUCUUUGCUGCUGCACUGAUUGGCCCUUUGUUCUUUUAUCUAUAGGGAAAGUAAUAAAAACAUUUAUUGUGAAGAAGUAAUACAAGAUAUUAAAAGAAGCAAAGUUUAAAAUCAAUUUCUACUAGUCUCGGGUGCUUUCUUCACGACUGAACUCUGAAGUAAUGCUGGAAUUUUCCAAGAGUAGAAAUACAUCUCCAGGAGUCUAACCUGGAUCUUUUAUUUUAUAAAAGAACUAACCAGUGAUGUAUUUUUACAGGAAGAGGGAAAACCGGAGUUCCCGGAGAAAACCCUCGAAGUACAGGAGACAUUUUCAGAUCUACUGACGCGAUUGCAUUUGCAUCGGCCGUUUUGCAAACACAAUCCUGCCAGCAACAACUUCUAACAAGUUGUUACCUGCACUUCAUGCAUGCACAUGCACUAAACUUAUCUACUUUUUCAUGCACUUAACUUAACUUGGAAAAAAAGGGCAAAGGAGAAGAAAAGAUUAGUAACACAUAGGGGCAAGGGGGGCAAAGGAGAAAAAA
rnacentral:lncRNA from 1 species